GAUGUCAAGUUAUUUAUCCUCCCAUCAUUUAGGAUGUGUUCUCACAUUCUGUGCCAAAGACCAGGCUGGAUUCCUGGAGAAGCCCCAAGAAAUUAUGGAGAACAAUCACAGAGAAAAAAUAUUUUUUUUAUAUUUAGAGACAUAGCUCAGGUGUACAGAGACAAGAUUAAGGUUUUCUGUUUGAGAAGACAAACUGAAACAACUCUGUGGUUCCAGCAGUAUUAAUAAUAUAAAGAGUUAACAUUUGUUGAUGCUACUGUGUGUGAGGCAUUGUGCUUGGCAAUUCACAAACCUAAUUUUCUGUGAGGUAAAUAAAGAAUUGAAGUAUUUUUAAACUUCAGGUAUAGUUUUAAAAUUGCUGUUGUCUGUAAAAUUGUUUUUGUAUUAGAAGUCUUCAAUACUGCACUUUCUGUGAAAAGAGGCAGUGUAUAAAGUGGAAAGACAUGGUUUUCUAGUGCUACAAAACUUAGUGGUUUAAAACAACCAUUUUAUUAGGGCAGUGAUUUUGUGAAUGGAUUUCAGAAAGAGCUCAACUGUUCAGCUCUUGUUUGGCACCUGUGGUGGACUGAACAGUAUCUCCAAUGUCCACUUUGAAGUUAGUAUGUAGCCUAUUGGAAAUAGUAUAUUCACAGAUGUAAUUAGUUAAGGAUCUCAAGAUGGAAUCAUCCUGGAUUUACAGUGGGCCCUAAAUCCAACGACUGGUGUCCUUAAAGGAAGAGGACACAGGAGAUGCACACACACACAGAAGUCCACGUGAAGAUGGAGGUCAGCACGGAUGGGGGCUAUACUGCCACAAGCCAAGGAACACCUGUACCAGAAGUUGGAGGACCCAAGGAGGCAUCCUUCUCUAGAGCCUCCCAAGGGACUAUGGUCCUCUGACAUCGCAAUUUCAUACUCCUAAUUUCAAGAACUGUGAAAGAACAGAUUUCUGUCGUAUUAAACCACCCAGUUUGUGCAUUUUAUUAUAACAACCCACUAACAUAACAUUUCUUGUGUGAUUGCAGUCAGAUCUCAGCUAGGGCUACGAUCAUCUGAAGGCUCAACUGGGCUAGCCGUCAUCACUGAGGCUGAAUCAAUGACAUCACGGUCACAUUGGUGCUAGCUGUGGGCUGGUAGAUCAACCAGUACCGUCAGCUAUGGACCACAGUUAAUCUCCAUGUCUUUGUGAGCCUUAUUCUGAUAGCUUCUAGGUUUGUUCCAUCCCAUCAAGAUACCAGAAGCACUGGCUAUACUGCAAAGAACCUACACUAGGAGUUCUGAGCUUUGGAGUCCAGCACCCAGUGUAUGUACACAUCACUGGAGAAGAGCACAGCUUAGGAGAAGGGGAGUCAGUCUGUCUGUGUGUCUUGCUGAAAGGAAUUGGGAGUGGAACAUAACAGGCCUGUCCACUUCGGGCUGUCCCGCCAUGGGCAUUGAGCUUGCAGAAGAGAGAAUGAUUAGCGGGACGAGAUGACAUCUGCCACUGGGACCCACCAUGGGAACACACCCACUGACAGGCCUGACAAACGGCCAGCAUCUGAGAAGACCAGGUAGCUUUCCCAUGUGCCACAGGUUCCUAGACUCUGAGCAGAGGGGCUGAAGAUUAUCCUGAGUUGUCCCUCAGAGGGAUCUCAAUCUGGAUAGCCCUCAAUUUGGGAGUAUCUAGAGAUCUUUAAGGUUUUGAAAGCCUUUUUUCUUUAGGUGUGUAAGUCUUUUGGUGGAGGACUGUCUGUAGGGCUUUAACAGGACUAGGCUUUAGUGCCAAGCAGAGAUUGGUUACUACCAGGGGGUCACAUCGCCUUCCUAGAAGUGCAUCCUUACUAUCUAUUUUCACUUUGCCGUACCGCUUAUUAACUAUCUCCUACCUUUGUAAAACAGAAAUAAAAAACCUAAACUUCACAAAGCCCUUUCACACUAGUUUGCUCAAAUCUCUUACCUCAUUUAUAACUGAGGGAUACACGUCUCAAAGGGGUAGAGCGAGUUUCCCAAAGCCACACCAUGAGCACAUCUUCACCCCUAAACAACCACAUGCCCUUAGUGGUUCCCUGGAAGGUAUUUAACAGAGCAUACUACGGCCCUGGCAAUACAGUAGUGAGACAAGGACCACGGGCUUAGACAGAAUAGGGUGAGGGCCUCCAGAAAAAACAAGGCAGGAUAUUUAC